rnacentral:rRNA from 1 species
GACGUAGGGCGCGAGCGUUGUCCGGAUUUAUUGGGCGUAAAGAGCUCGUAGGCGGCUUGUCGCGUCGUUCGUGAAAACCCACGGCUCAACUGUGGGCUUGCGGUCGAUACGGGCAGACUAGAGUUCGGCAGGGGAGACCGGAAUUCCUGGUGUAGCGGUGAAAUGCGCAGAUAUCAGAAGGAACACCGGUGGCGAAGGCGGGUCUCUGGGCCGAUACUGACGCUGAGGAGCGAAAGCGUGGGGAGCGAACAGG